CAUUUUUUGGCCGACGUAGUGGUCCUUCAAAGUCGACUAUCUAACGUUUGGUAUCGAAAUUUGAGACAACUGGUUCGGUAAACGAUCAGUUAACACCCGUACGUCAAAGAAACGCCAGAUCGGUCCAGAAUAUCGCCGCGGUACGUGAAAGUGUGCAGGAGAACCCGAGGCAGUCAAUUCCUCGCCGUGCACAAGAACUCGGUCUGUCACAGUCUUCAACNGGUGUCGAAAUUUGAGACAACUGGUACGGUAAACGAUCAGUUAACAUCCCCCUACAUCAAAGAUCGGUCCAGAAUAUCGCCGCGGUACGUGAAAGUGUGCAGGAGAACCCGAGGCAGUCAAUUCCUCGCCGUGCACAAGAAGUCGGUCUUUCACAGUCUUCAACUUGGCGAAUUUUGCGCCGGGACUUGGGCUUACACUCGUAUAAGAUCCAACUGACCCAGGAGACGUGAAUUGGUUACCAAGAUCGUGUGAUUUGACCCCAUUAGACUUUUUCUUGUGGGGUUUCCUGAAGUCGCAGGUCUAUGCCAAUAAGCCGNGUUUGGUGCGGAUUUUGGGCCGGCGGUAUCAUUGGUCCGUACUUUUUUGAAAAUGACGUUGGUGAGGCCAUCACCGUCAAUGGUGAGCGAUACAGAA
rnacentral:lncRNA from 1 species